rnacentral:rRNA from 1 species
UACGUAGGGGGCUAGCGUUGUCCGGAAUCAUUGGGCGUAAAGAGCGUGUAGGCGGUCCGGUAAGUCCGCUGUGAAAGUCGGGGGCUCAACCCUCGAAUGCCGGUGGAUACUGUCGGGCUAGAGUGCGGAAGAGGCGAGUGGAAUUCCUGGUGUAGCGGUGGAAUGCGCAGAUAUCAGGAGGAACACCGAUGGCGAAGGCAGGUCUCUGGGCCAUUACUGACACUGAGAAGCGGAAAGCAUGGGGAGCGAACAGG